rnacentral:rRNA from 1 species
UACGGGGGGGGCAAGCGUUGUUCGGAAUUACUGGGCGUAAAGGGCUCGUAGGCGGCCAACUAAGUCACACGUGAAAUCCCCAGGCUUAACCUGGGAACUGCGUGUGAUACUGGAUGGCUUGAAUCCGGGAGAGGGAUGCAGAAUUCCAGGUGUAGCGGUGAAAUGCGUAGAUAUCGGGAGGAACACCGGUGGCGAAGGCGGCGAUCUGGGUCGAUACUGACGCUGAGGUGCGAAAGCGUGGGGAGCAAACAGG